rnacentral:rRNA from 1 species
AUUGAACGCUGGCGGAAGGCCUAACACAUGCAAGUCGAGAGGAGCGGCGGACGGGUGAGUAAUGCCUAGGAAUCUGCCUGGUAGCGGGGGAUAACGUCCGGGAACGGGCGCUGAUACCGCAUACUAUCAAAUGAGCCUAGGCCGGAUUAGCUAGGUGGUGGGGUAAAGGCCUACCAAGGCGACGAUCCGUAACUGGUCUGAGAGGCUGAUCAGUCAGACGGGAACUGAGACAGUGUCUGUACUCCGCCGGGAGGCAGCAGUGGGGAAUAUUGGACGAGGGGCGAAAGUCUGCUCCAGCCAUGCCGCGUGUGGGGAGAAGUUAUUCGGAUUUUAAAGCACUUUAAGUUGGUAGACGUUGCCAACAUAAUCAGCACCGGCUAACUUCGUGCCAGCAGCCGCGGUAAUAC